GGAGUUAGCCGGUGCUUCUUCUGUGAGUGAUGUCCUUCCUGCCGGCUAUUAACCCGCAGGCCUUCUUCCUCACUGAAAGUGCUUUACAACCCGAAGGCCUUCUUCACACACGCGGCAUGGCUGGAUCAGGGUUGCCCCCAUUGUCCAAUAUUCCCCACUGCUGCCUCCCGUAGGAGUCUGGGCCGUGUCUCAGUCCCAGUGUGGCUGAUCAUCCUCUCAGACCAGCUACGGAUCGUCGCCUUGGUGAGCCGUUACCUCACCAACCAGCUAAUCCGACAUAGGCUCAUCCGAUAGCGCGAGGCCCGAAGGUCCCCCGNUUUCCCCCGUAGGGCGUAUGCGGUAUUAGCCUGGGUUUCCCCAGGUUAUCCCCCACUACCGGGCAGAUUCCUAUGCAUUACUCACCCGUCCGCCGCUCGCCACCAGGAGCAAGCUCCCCGUGCUGCCGCUCGACUUGCAUGUGUUAGGCCUGCCGCCAGCGUUCAAUCUGAGCCAGAAUCAAACUCUGA
rnacentral:rRNA from 1 species